rnacentral:rRNA from 1 species
GGACUACUGGGGUAUCUAAUCCCGUUUGCUCCCCUAGCUUUCGUGCAGCAGCGUCAGUUAUGGUCCAGUGCGCCGCUUUCGCCACAGGUGUUCCUCCCGACAUCUACGCAUUUCACCGCUACACCGGGAAUUCCACGCACCUCUCCCAUACUCCAGCACCACAGUUUCGCCUGCAGGCCCCGAGUUAAGCCCGGGGAUUUCACAGGUGACUUGUGGCACCGCCUACGCACCCUUUACGCCCAAUAAUUCCGAACGACGCUCGCACCCUCUGUAUUACCGCGGCGGCUGGCAC